ACCUCACAUGAAACACCAGGAAAGUAUCAGGAAAAAGGAAACCAAAUGACUUCUCAGAUAAAAAAACCCUAAAGAUGUUGUUAGCUUUCCAGAUAGCUCCACUGAAACCAAAGUGAGGACCAUGCUUCUCAGAGAAGAGAGCAUCCUGAGCUAACACAGAAGGACCAUGUUCUCUUUGUCUGUGUUCAGAUGGAAUCCUAAUUAACAUGUUAAUUGGCAGCUGCAGAGAGGAAUUAGAGAGCUGCUUAACGACCAGCU